GACGAACGCUGGCGGCGUGCUUAACACAUGCAAGUCGAACGGAAAGGCCCUGCUUUUGUGGGGUGCUCGAGUGGCGAACGGGUGAGUAACACGUGAGUAACCUCCCCUUGACUUUGGGAUAACUUCAGGAAACUGGGGCUAAUACCGGAUAGGAGCUCCUGCUGCAUGGUGGGGGUUGGAAAGUUUCGGCGGUUGGGGAUGGACUCGCGGCUUAUCAGCUUGUUGGUGGGGUAGUGGCUUACCAAGGCUUUGACGGGUAGCCGGCCUGAGAGGGUGACCGGCCACAUUGGGACUGAGAUACGGCCCAGACUCCUACGGGAGGCAGCAGUGGGGAAUAUUGCACAAUGGGCGGAAGCCUGGUGCAGCAACGCCGCGUGCGGGAUGACGGCCUUCGGGUUGUAAACCGCUUUCGCCUGUGACGAAGCGUGAGUGACGGUAAUGGGUAAAGAAGCACCGGCUAACUACGUG
rnacentral:rRNA from 1 species